rnacentral:rRNA from 1 species
UACGUAGGGGGCGAGCGUUGUCCGGAUUUAUUGGGCGUAAAGAGCUCGUAGGCGGUUUGGUAAGUCGGGUGUGAAAUCUCCACGCUCAACGUGGAGGGGCCACUCGAUACUGCCAUGACUCGAGUCCGGUAGAGGAGUGUGGAAUUCCCGGUGUAGCGGUGAAAUGCGCAGAUAUCGGGGGGAACACCCGUGGCGAAGGCGGCACUCUGGGCCGGAACUGACGCUGAGGAGCGAAAGCGUGGGGAGCAAACAGG